rfam:Flavobacterium reichenbachii strain LMG 25512 Contig02, whole genome shotgun sequence.
GCCCUCGUGCUAUGUAGUAAAGCUCCGAAAGGACUUUGACGCCGUGAAGAAGCGUAAGACUACUAAGGCAUGAGGGUUU